AGUCGCUUGUCGGCGGAGUUUCCUGAUGACAGAGCCCGUGCGCCGAGGCUAUGGGCAGCCGGGAGGUGCUGGGCCAGGCGGCUCGGUUGGCCUCCUCAGGUCUGCUCCUUCAGGUGUUGUUUCGAUUAAUCACCUUUGUCUUGAAUGCGUUUAUUCUUCGCUUCCUAUCGAAGGAAAUCGUUGGCAUAGUGAAUGUCAGGCUAACACUGCUUUACUCAACCACCCUCUUCCUGGCCAGAGAGGCCUUCCGUAGAGCAUGUCUGAGUGGGGCCGCCCAGCGAGACUGGAGCCAGACCCUCAACCUCCUAUGGCUCACAGUCCCUUUGGGUGUGUUUUGGUCCUUGUUCCUGGGCUGGGUCUGGCUACAGUUGCUCGAAGUGCCUGAUCCUCACGUCGUCCCCCACUAUGGAACUGGAGUGGUGAUGUUUGGCUUCUCAGCAGUGGUGGAACUUCUGGGAGAGCCCUUCUGGGUCUUGGCACAAGCACAUAUGUUUGUCAAGCUCAAGGUGAUUGCUGAGAGCCUGUCAGUAAUCCUCAAGAGCGUCCUGACAGCCCUUCUUGUGCUGUGGUUGCCUCACUGGGGGCUGUACGUUUUCUCUUUGGCCCAGCUUUUCUAUACUAUAGUUCUGGUGCUCUGCUAUGUUAUUUACUUUGCAAAGAUAUUGGGCUCCCCAGAAUCAGCCAAGCAACAAACUCUUCCUGUCUCCAGCAUGACAGAUCUGUUACCCAGUAUGACAAAAAGUAGAGCGUUUGUAAAUUGGGAAGAGGCUAAAUUGACUUGGAGUUUUUUCAAACAGUCUUUCCUGAAACAGAUUUUGACAGAAGGCGAGCGAUAUGUGAUGACAUUUUUGAACGUGUUAAAUUUUGGGGAUCAGGGUGUGUAUGAUAUAGUGAAUAAUCUUGGCUCCCUUGUGGCCAGAUUAAUUUUCCAGCCAAUAGAGGAGAGUUUUUAUAUAUUCUUUGCUAAGGUGCUAGAGAGAGAAAAGGACGCCACACUUCAGAAGCAGGAGGAUGUUGCUGUGGCUGCCGCGGUUUUGGAGUCCCUGCUAAAGCUGGCCCUGCUGACCGGCCUGACCAUCACUGUUUUCGGCUUUGCCUAUUCUCAGCUGGUUUUGGACAUCUAUGGAGGGGUCAUGCUUAGCUCAGGAUCAGGUCCUGUCCUACUGCGAGCCUACUGUCUUUACGUCCUCCUACUUGCCAUCAAUGGAGUGACUGAGUGUUUCACAUUUGCUGCCAUGAGCAAAGAGGAGGUAGACAGGUACAAUUUUACAAUGCUGGCCCUGUCGUCUUCCUUCCUGAUGUUAUCCUAUGUCCUGACCCGUUGGUGUGGCAGUGUGGGCUUCAUCUUGGCCAACUGCUUCAACAUGGGCAUUCGGAUCACGCAGAGCCUUCGCUUCAUCUACCGCUACUACCGGAAGAGCCCCCACAGGCCCCUGGCUGGCCUGUCCCUGCCACCAGUCCUCCUCGGGACGUUUGCCGUCAGUGGUGGCAUCACUGCUGCUUCAGAGGUGUUCCUCUGCUGUGAAUGGGGCUGGCUAGCCCGGCUGGCACACAUCGCUGUGGGGGCCCUCUGUCUGGGAGUGACCCUCGGGACAGCAUUCCUCACAGAAACCAAGCUGAUUCACUUUCUUAGGACUCAGUUAGGCAUGCCCAGACUCGCUGACAAAACGACAUGACCUUGUGGAAGCCGAGUGGCACCUGGAUCAGCUGUGGGGCGGUCCUGUGGGUGGCACACGUGUUCUGUGGAGGAGAGCCAGGCCGGGGGUCUGCAGUGCAGUGAGACCAACCCAGGCAGAGAACAGGGCAACUGCUACCAGAUGGUGGUUUACCUGAAGUGCACAAAUUGAAGUCCAGUGACCCAGGGAGCAUGGACACAUGUGUAGGCAUGGCUGAGUCUCUUCACUCUCCACCUGAAACUAUCACAGCUUUGGUAAUUGGCUAUACUUCAAUACAAAAUAAACCGCUUAUUGAAAAAAAAUUGUUUUAAUUAAGUAAAAAUAAAUCCACUGGUCCAAAGCCAGUGCCAAGAGGCCAAGGAUAAAGACCCCCUGAGACUAGGACCCAGUUACUUGGACACCUGUGUAUCUAGUCAAAGAGAGAGUGCUUUUGCAGGGACAGUAGGUAAAUGUAAGGUAUCACUGAGCAGCUAGAGGCCCUCCAGAAGCGUGGGCCUGGUCCUGUGUUGUCAGGCAGGGUCAGCCCAGCUCAGAGGAACUGAUUGCUCCAUGGGGUAGGGCACAUAGAGAAGGCAGCCCUGCCUCUCAAGUACUUUUUUGCUCUCUUGAACACACAGACAUGAGCCUCUAGCCCUCGCAAUUUCCGGUUGACCACCCCUCUCUCUGCUAGGACCCUGUCACUCAACCCUGUCCCACUUAACCCCAGACUCAAAGUGUGGGCCUCACGCCACCUGCUUCAGAAUCUCCUGGGUUGCAAGUCAGAAAUGUAGGUUUCCAGGGUCCCUCCAGACCUUUGGCAUCUGCGUCUCUAGGGUGGGGCUUUGGGACCAGCUUUUUCGGCAAACCAGGGUUGGCAUACCCCGGCAUCCUCACCCGAGUCAGGACCCAGGGCCAGUUCCUCUCAUGUCACGGUAUCUGUGCCCAGUUCUAGGAAGAAAGCCGCCUUUGCCUGAGUAGCAUCACUGACUCCCUAGCUCCUCAGGAGCAUGAGUUCCACGGCUCCCACUCUGCUUUUCUGCCCGGAGAAGCUCUGCAUCUGACGGCGAGGGUGCAUCUCAUCUCGUACUGCCAGGCAGGGCCAGCUCCUCUGGCGAGAUGGCCAGCAGGGAUGGUCACCCAGGGCUCUUUGCUGUGACCUGCUUCCUCAUUUAUAGAAAGAGGAGUUCUCGUAGCCCAGGCUUUUGGGAAACAGGUGUUUUCCCAUUACUAACACCUGCUUCCUGGGCUCCAGCACUUGGGCAGCAGGCCCCGUGUGGCCCAUGGUCUCUGUCUCCACUCGGCUGCUCCCUGCAGCGCAGCUGGGCCCGACCACUGGCUCUUGGGCUUCCCCACCCCCCACCCCCUAGAGCUGCACCUGGGUCUGGAGGGGCUGGCCUACAAGGGUGCUGAGCCACCCCACGUUACCCAGGAAGGAACUGGGGGGAAAAUCACACUUCAGGCCUUAAGUACCACUUAAAAUAUAAGUGAGGCCACCUCUCCAUGGAAGCAAGUCUCUAAAGCACAUCCAUUUAUGAAACAGAAACCUUUGAUGGUGAGAGCGACUGCAUUCCGUCUUUCUGUGCUGCCCUGGCCACACAAGUGUUGGUGACGUGGGGUUUGGCCUGUCAGGUCCCUCUGUCAGCAGCUGCUGCUGUGCCACUUAAAGCUUCUUUAGCAGUGACUCCAGGCUCUGGCGGUGUGUAUGCUCUGCCUCACCCUCUGCCGCUUAACAGCCUGAUUCACCAGGACACCUCCUUCCUCCUGCCUUUUUUUUUUUUAAUACUUGGGUUUAUAUUGCUAGUUUCAUGUCAGUUUCCUGUGUGUAUGCUCUGCCCCACCCGCUGCCAUUUACUAACCUAUUUCACCAGGGCACCUCUUUCCUCCUGCCCCUUUUAAAAAAAAAAAAAACAACCAGUGUAUUCAUAUUGCUAGUUUCACGUCAAUUUUCCAAUUUUAAAAUG